rnacentral:rRNA from 1 species
CAGCCGCCGCGGGAUUACGGAGGGAGCUAGCGUUGUUCGGAAUUACUGGGCGUAAAGCGCGCGUAGGCGGUUACUCAAGUCAGAGGUGAAAGCCCGGGGCUCAACCCCGGAACUGCCUUUGAAACUAGGUGACUAGAAUCUUGGAGAGGUCAGUGGAAUUCCGAGUGUAGAGGUGAAAUUCGUAGAUAUUCGGAAGAACACCAGUGGCGAAGGCGACUGACUGGACAAGUAUUGACGCUGAGGUGCGAAAGCGUGGGGAGCAAACAGGAUUAGAUACCCCUGUAGUCCCUGUCUCUUAUAC